AUUAUGGUUUGAACGUGAUGACGUUACAUUGUGACGGAAGAUGCUGUUAUGUUGUACUGAGCUGAUGCUCGUUCAAGUUAUGCUGAAUAAAAGCUGCUGAAGAGAGAAAUAAGUACUGAGCAACGUUUCGUUUGUUUUCCAUAACCGAGUGAUGGCGAACUGCGCACUCAAAGUUUAACAGAAACGUGACUUGUACACCUCCAUUACGAAUGAGGAGUUGGACAGAAUAUUGGUGGAAAUACACCACAGAUACCCUAAUGCUGGCUACAAGAUGAUCUUGGGACACUUAAGAUCCAGGCAACUUCGUGUACAAAAAUUUUCAGCCGAAAUUCCGGAGCAUACCACCCUACCAUUGGCGAGUAAUGCUGUCAAAUCGCUAGCUGAUUUGAACACAGGGUUUUAGCAUCAUUAAGACGAGUAGAUCCUGAAGGAAUGGAACUGCGCAGGUUACGCCUUAGGACGUCCCGACGCCGACGUUACAGUGUACCAGCUCCCAACAGUGUCUGGCACAUUGAUGGGAACCAUAAACUUAUUCGAUGGAAAAUUGUUAUCCACGGGGGUAUUGACGGCUAUUCCCGACUUAAAAGCUGCUACAAACAACAAGGCUCAAACAGUGCUGCAAAGCUUCCUGUCUGCUGUACAAAUAUAUGGUGUUCCCUCUAGAGUGCGUUCUGACAAGGGGGGGGAAUGUAAUGGUUGCCCGCUUCAUGAUAAAAACAAGGGAAACAAACAGACAUUCACACAUUACAGGAAGAAGUGUGCACAACCAGAGAAUUGAGCGGCUGUGGAGAGAUGUCUUUGACCAAGUAACAGACCUCUUCUACACCACCUUUCGUCAGUUGGAAAAUGAAGGAUGGCUUAAUCCAGACCAGGAUGUGGACUUGUUUGCAUUGCACUGGUCUUACAUGCCACAAAUUCAGAGGAAUCUACAAGAAUUUCGGAGUGCCUGGAAUAGUCACAGUCUAAGAUCUGCAGGCAACAGAACUCCUCUGCAGCUUUGGUCAAAUCAUGAGAGGGAUGACCCAAAUCUGGUCAUUUUGCAGUGAUUUAGUUAAUUACUUUACUUUUUUUCUUCUUCCCCCAUUUAUUUCUUCACUGAUAAAUUGUUUGAUACAAUGGAAAAUCUAAGAGUAAAAAUUGAAACUUAAGUACGGAUCGAUUCUUUUUUUCAAAUUACUGUUUUAAAUUAAGUCUUCUAAAUGAUUUAUUCAUAUUGUAACUGUUUUAGAUUGACAUUGAUGAUGAAGUCAGGGAAGACCUUGAAGGGCAACAAGCAGAAGGUGUUCAUGUUCCUGAGUUGGAUCUACCUCGUGUCUUGACUGAAGAAGAGUUGGUAACACUACCAAACCCGGAUGUACCUUUUUCAGAUGCACUGUCUGUCUACAUGGAAACAGUUCUUGCUAUAAAACAAAUGCUUGGUGAAUCAUAGUCUUCUCUUUUAAAGGUUUACAUACUUUAGGCAUAGAAAUUGUAUAUGUGCAUAUCAGACAGGCCAGUUAUAUUGUUGAUCAGGAACCACCGACACAGUAACAUCUGAAAAAACAUUUCAUUUCAUUUAUGCAUUAACAUACUGUAAAGAACAUUUUAAACCCCUCAUUAAAGCUGGAAUGAACAAUGUCAGAAGAGCCACUGUUAAAAUUGGUUGCAAGAUAAACAUUUAUGCAUCAAUUAAGUGUUUACGUAAGUUUUUUUUUUUAGCUACUUUUUUUGCAAUGGACAAAUCCUGUAGUAUGAACUAUAGUGCAUUGUCACUGAACAAUAAAACCGCUGAACAACCGUAACAUUUUAUGUUGUCAAAAAAAAAAAAACAGUUUUUUCAAACAACUAUGUAUUUAAACCACCCAAAUGAAAUUUACCCCAUAAUUUACUCACCCUCAUGCCAUCCUAGGUGUACG